UACGUAGGGGGCGAGCGUUGCCCGGAUUUAUUGGGCGUAAAGGGCGCGUAGGCGGUCACGCACGUCCGUUGUGAAAUCGCUCGGCUCAACUGGGCGGGGUCAGCGGAUACGGCGUGGCUGGAGCAAGCUAGGGGGCAAUGGAAUUCCCGGUGUAGAGGUGGAAUGCGUAGAUAUCGGGAGGAACACCAGUGGCGAAGGCGGUUGCCUGGAGCUUUGCUGACGCUGAUGCGCGAAAGCGUGGGGAGCGAUCCGG
rnacentral:rRNA from 1 species